UCGACGUUAGCUCAGAAGGUAGAGCAACGACAGAUGAUGUCGUUGGCCGCCGGUUCGAAUCCGGCACGUCGAGCCA
rnacentral:tRNA from 1 species